CGCUUAAAUAGAAGCAAUUUUUUUUUUCAGUUUGCUUCAAGUUGCGAGCAUUUCGAGCGUGGCUGCAACAUUGCUGUGCUCGGAACAAAAAAAGUGGGCUUUCACUUAACACCAAUGUGACCGUAAGAAAAGAAACUAUCGCUUUUCUUUUUUUGGCUCUCAACAAGCGAACACAAACACUUGGGAUGCAAAACAGCAAAAUGCAGUGUUCCUGAAGCUUCACCACGCACACACGGAAAAAGCAAUGCCAUCACACCAUUCCCACUGCAGGCUGAGAGAGUACAAAGGGUGCUGCGUUAAAAAACAACAAAGAAAACAGCACUUUGUCCACGUUCCCCUCCCUGACACGAUCGACCUACACUACGCUGAGAUGUCAACACUCCGUGUGUGCUCCCCACAUAAUUUUUUUGUGAAAGAUUCUUUUGUGGCAACGAAGCAUGUAAGCUCCACGACACAUGGCCUAAAUGCACGAUUUCUGCACAAUACACAGCCGAGUUCUUUGCUUCACACGCACUGUACGGACAAUUUACGGCUCAAAAAACGAACACAAGCAGUAGUAGUGGUGGUGGUGCUAACAAACGGUGGUCGCGGGUGCCGACUGGAAAGCACUGAGCUUCCAGCCUAGCACAACACCAACUCAGUACAGCCACACAAGCUCGUCUCCCCAUUGCCUUAUCAUUACACAGCAGUGAAAAUCAUCGUUCCUCUACAAGCAAGGACCUGCCGCACUAAGCUUUGUACAAGCAAAUGCAUAUGACAACAGUUAUCGCAAACGUGCUGCUUUCAUUAUCACAUUUUUCAUUUUCCUGUCAAUUCCUCUGGCGCACACACUGUCUCUCAACACAUUAAACAUGUGGAAGUACAAUUAGAAGGGGGGGUUCGUGUUGAACCCGAAGCAGCAGCCGACCGUUGUUCCGAUUACAUGCGAGGAUGGGGUAACAGCCCGCAGGCCAAUGCGACAAGGGACCCUGUAAAACCUGUCGCCACCCUUCCCACUCCUGGUCGAGAGGACAAUGCCCUUUGCAGCAGCAGGGUGUGCACACACUAGUGAGGCAAAACACACACGCACAAAAGCUGUGCCCUCGGGCACUGCACACGAGCCACUGGCCUAAGGAGGGGGGGCAUGCCCCGAGAAACUACUACGACUACGUUUGCUACAACCAGCUCUAAGGUUGAGAGGCACUUCACAAAAAUACAUCUGGCUCGCCUAUAGAUUAAAGAGAUGGAAACAUAAGUUGUCUUUUUCUUCCACGUUGGGUGCUCAUAGUGGUGCACACAAUGGGUCUUGAAGACGCCCAAGGUGGCCUAUUUUCUUUUUUUUUUGGCCACCCUGCCGAGAGACGGAUGGAGAGAUGACGGCAAACACAACAGAAGUACGAGGUUGGGAGAGAAAGGCACACGACGUUCAGUUCACACGAGAAAAGCUGGCGUGGGAAGGUGUUGGAAUUGCUGCUCUAAAGAGAAACUACGGAAAAUGGGGGCUUUCACCAAGAAAUGCAGAGAGAGAGGCUUCUCUAACUGCCACAACUAACGAACACUACGAGGAAAGUGCACGCUCAUGCUGCAACAAUGCAACAAAGCGCUGACGGCUGAAAAGUCUCGGCAACUAAGUGCCAUCGCUGCAGGCUAAGGUUAAUCUCGUGGCCAUGACAGUGCACGACGUACGGGUGUGAAGAGCAAAAACCAGCACCUCCCUCUGCCCACCUCACGUAUCCACAAAAGCUCACAAGAGAGAAUGUAUGUCACGUUACAGCAACUGACAUUGUGGUAGGCACGGCACUGCUACACAGGGAGCUCCAAACAGAGCUAGGUCCGCUUUUGUGAAGCAACUUUCUCAAGCUGUGGGGGUUCGAGGUGUGGAUCUUGUCUGCAUCAGCACACCGAAGCUGACUGCACCUCCAAGUCCAUGCCCGCCCCUGGAAAGGCACAACUGAAGGGGCAGAAGGCACCCGUGUACAUGCAGACAAGACAACACAAAACUGUUCCCAAUGAAUCGACGUGCAGAAGCUGGAAAUCUCACAACGCAGUGUUUUUGUGCCCCCAAACCACUCAGAAAACAGUGAUCCAAAGAUAAGCCCACACACACACAAACAGCACGACUGUCUGUUGUUUCAUGCACAGUGUAGUCAAGUCGCCAAAACACAAGCAAACGGCAGGCAUGCAAAACAAAUACAAUGUUCGGCGUCGCAAACAAAAUCCCUGGUGAAGUGCAGAUGGCCGUAGGAACAGCCAUCGAGAUAAUUCUACACGACAACAAUUAAGUCAUGGAAAAAAAAAGAUAUGAAAAAACAAAAUGCAACAGUGCUACACUUGAUGCUUGACUAAGAGCGCACAUAUCCACUGUGCACAUUGGUGAUACCCGUGGUGGGAGCCGAUGACCAAGUGGCCCAGAGGACCGAGCCAGGCGCUAAGGAUUCUAGUAGGCAAGCCCUCAGCGAAAAAUAAAGGGAGAAAAACCUCGAAGGCCAAACGUAGGAGGCCAAGUAGCACGCAGCAUGUUGGAAAGCGGAACAAGGCAAACCAUUUCUCCUAGCCCUGGGUGCUACACCAUGAAGCUAAACUACUGGUGCUGCUGCAAGGUAUGUGCUUGUACACGAGGAAAAUGAAAAACUAAACAGCACGCAGAAUAAAUGGUUCUCAGUGUGAAGCCACUACAGGGCUUACACACCAAAGGACGUGCCGUUCAC
rnacentral:lncRNA from 1 species